AGAUUAAGCCAUGCAUGCCUUCGAAUAAGAGGUUGCAAUUCUCUCUGAAUCUGCGAACGGCUCCGCAAACCAGUUGUAAGAUCUAGCAGGUCCCGGCGUGGGGCCCCCGCUUUCGGGCGGGGAUCCUGCGCCAUCUAUAUGGAUACCCGUGGUAAUUCUGAGGCUAAUACAUGACAACAAACUUCUGUCGCCAGCGGCCUUUCGAGGCUGCGGGUGGUGGGGGGAUGUGUGAGCCAAGGCUUGGUAGACUGGAUAGAACGCACGUACUUGACUGCCAUAAAAAACGGGUGGGGUCCUGCCUUCCGAGGCUGGGGUCCUGCUCGGGCGGCUCCUGGACAUCGCAUCUGACCUAUCAAUUAGACGGCAGCUUAUGGGACAUGCUAUGGUGGCAACGGGUACAGAGGAUAAGGGUUCGAUCCUGGAGAGUGGGCCUGAGAGAUUGCUCAUACUUCUAAGGAAGGCAGCAGGCGCGCAACGUUCCCCUUGGACAAUGUCCGAGGGCGUUAGGGGACAUAUGAAUGGCUGCCUUAAUGGUGGCCAAUUCAAAUGGGUCUGUCGUAAACAGGCUCUCGAGUAACAAUUAGAGG
rnacentral:rRNA from 1 species